GUCUCAGGCCGUAAUCAGCCUGAAGGCGCCCGAUCUCGUCUGAUCUCGGAAGCUAAGCAGGGUCGGGCCUGGUUAGGAUCUUGGAUGGGAGACCACCUGGGAAUCCCGGGUGCUCGAGGCU
rnacentral:rRNA from 1 species